rnacentral:rRNA from 1 species
AGAGUUUGAUCCUGGCUCAGGACGAACGCUGGCGGCGUGCUUAACACAUGCAAGUCGAACGAGACGAUUUUAAGCUUGCUUAGAUGAGUCGAGUGGCAAACGGGUGAGUAACGCGUAGACAACCUGCCGCAAAGAUGGGGACAACAGUUCGAAAGGACUGCUAAUACCGAAUGUUGUAUCUUUCUCGCAUGGGAGAGAUAUUAAAGAUGGCCUCUACUUGUAAGCUAUCGCUUUGCGAUGGGUCUGCGUCUGAUUAGCUAGUUGGUGGGGUAACGGCCUACCAAGGCGACGAUCAGUAGCCGGUCUGAGAGGAUGAACGGCCACAUUGGAACUGAGACACGGUCCAGACUCCUACGGGAGGCAGCAGUGGGGAAUCUUCCGCAAUGGGCGAAAGCCUGACGGAGCAACGCCGCGUGAGUGAAGAAGGGUUUCGGCUCGUAAAGCUCUGUUGACGGGGACGAAUGUGCGAAAUGCGAAUAGUUUUUCGCAAUGACGGUACCCGUCGAGGAAGCCACGGCUAACUACGUGCCAGCAGCCGCGGUAAUACGUAUGUGGCGAGCGUUGUCCGGAAUUAUUGGGCGUAAAGGGAGCGCAGGCGGGAAGGCAAGUCAGUCUUAAAGUGCGGGGCUCAACCCCGUGAUGGGAUUGAAACUGUCUUUCUUGAGUGCAGGAGAGGAAAGCGGAAUUCCUAGUGUAGCGGUGAAAUGCGUAGAUAUUA